CGGGGAGGGAGAGGUUGGAGACAGGGAAAGGAGGAAGGGAUGAGAGGAGGGAAAAUCCCCAAGGAUGGAAAACAGGAGGUCAAAGCCCCAAAUAUGGCCACCCAACUGGGGGGUCCAAGUUAGGGCCUGUAUAGGGCUCUGGGGGCUCAGAACAGCUGCCCACUCACCCCAGCAGCCGGUAUGAGUCACUGGGGUGGUGGUGGGGUAGGAAAUAGCCCAAACUGGCAGUGCGGGAAAGGGAGCAGGGCCAGCACGUUCCUCAGGAUCCCUAGGGGGUGGAGGAGCAGGGUCCAGCCUGGGCUCUGAGCCCUGAACCCCAUCCUCUAAGCAGGACAAGGGCACAGAGAAGUUGUCCCACCCUUUGUAGGGCAGGCCAAGUAGUAGGAAGCCUGGGGUUUAAUGAUUGGCUUUUCUCUCCCUCUCUCAACCUGUUUCCCUUUCUGCAAAAAAAAAAAAAAAAAGUGGAGUAGGUCUUUUAAUGUUAGGGUUGGAGGCGAGGGGGAGAAACAGGAUUCAGAAACCCUUUUCUAGAUUCCUUCCAGAAAUAUGUGUGUUUGGACUUUGCCGACAGUUGAAGGCAUUCUGAAGUGCCCACAAACUCAUUCCUAGCCACCAGAUAAGAACUCCUGAAUUAGAGCUGGCCCAAGAGAAUUCCAACUGCGACAUUUAAUAGCGCCCCAGAGCAAGGGAAAGGCUUUUAUAAAGGCCGUUGGAGCCAGAGGUGGGGGCCUCCUAAGCCUGGGAGCAGCAAUACCUUUUGAUGUGUGGUUUCUUGGCGGGGGUGGGGGGGGGGGGGGGUGCUGCAGUAACAAGAUGGGAUCCUUAACCUACUUCGCCACAAGGGAACUCUCAGGUGUGGUUUCUUUCUACCAUCAGGGGUGUGUGAGCAGAAGCUGGAGACCCCUGGGUGGAAUAAGGAAGAUUUUAUCCAAAUGGCAGCUGACUUUCCUGCCCGGGCCCCCUCUUGCUGCGUCUGCCUGUCCUUGCCUUUCUGUCCUUAAUUCUGAGGGAGGAGUGUUUCAGAGGAUCCUGGAGCACAGGUGACCGGCUCUCUCCCACUGAAGCUGCUGGUGAAGACAAACCAGCGACAAGACCCGGUCAGAGGGGCUGGCGCUGCCCCACGCCCCUCUGCCAGCUGACGCCUCCUGCUAAAAACAGCGGGGCCCGGGGGGACUAUGGGCUUUCAGGCUUCCCCCUCCACGCCAGGACAGGUAUUAAAGAGGCCGACGCCCAGCCAGGCCGACUGGACACCAUGCUCUUCACCGAGACGGCCCACUUCGUGGUGAAUUUUCUUCUGUACCGGCGCCCCCGGGCCACUCUCCCGUACCGCCUGGACCAGGAGUUGUGUUUCUGGGGCUGCCGGGGCCCGGCCUUGCCGCCUGUCGCCACCCGCAGCAGCCUGGGCGAUUACUGGCUGAGCCCGCAGCGCCGGCGCCCACCGGGCGCCACCUGGCGCUGGCCCGCUCGCAAUAUGCUGCUACUGCCAGGGGCCACCGGGCUGGCGGAUAUACCCUCGGCGCGCUGGCCCAGCUGCUACGGCGUUCGCCCGCGCCUCACGUGAGCAGCCGGGUUGGGGCGGAGGCCCUGGAAGUGAAGGGCGGGGCCUACGGUAGGGGGCGGGGUCUGUGGGAAAGGGCGGAUCCCCAGAGCCCGGUCAGUUAGGAGUAGGAUAGGCUGGGCUGGACGGUGGCUGGG
rnacentral:lncRNA from 1 species